GAAAAUCUGAAGUGCUAUUACUACUCAGCUGCUAAUCACUACUAAAUUAUUAACAAUUUACAAUCUAUCUACAAUGAAAACAUUAGAUCCAAAUGAUCGUAGAGGUAAAUUCCACCAAACUUUUAAGAAACUAAUCACUCCAAACCAAACUGUCCCUGGAAACAGGGAAAAAAAAAAAAAA